rnacentral:rRNA from 1 species
UACGUAGGGUGCGAGCGUUGUCCGGAAUUAUUGGGCGUAAAGAGCUUGUAGGCGGUUUGUCGCGUCUGCUGUGAAAAUCCGGGGCUCAACCCCGGACUUGCAGUGGGUACGGGCAGACUAGAGUGUGGUAGGGGAGACUGGAAUUCCUGGUGUAGCGGUGGAAUGCGCAGAUAUCAGGAGGAACACCGAUGGCGAAGGCAGGUCUCUGGGCCACUACUGACGCUGAGGCACGAAGGUCAGGGGAGCAAACGGG